rnacentral:rRNA from 1 species
UAAGGAAUAUUGCUCAAUGGGAGAAAUCCUGAAGCAGCAACGCCGCGUGGAGGAUGAAGGGUCUAUGACUUGUAAACUCCUGUAAAGAAGGAAAAAAUUCCCAUUAGAUGGGAGAUGAUGGUACUUCUGGAGUAAGCCCCGGCUAACUACGUGCCAGCAGCCGCGGUAAUACGUAGGGGGCAAGCGUUGUCCGGAUUUACUGGGGGUAAAGGGUGCUCAGGCGGAUUUGUAAGUCAGAGGUGAAAUCUUACAGCUUAACUGUGAAACUGCCUUUGAUACUGCAAGCCUAGAGUAUGGAAGAGAGAGAUGGAAUAUCUGGUGUAGCAGUGAAAUGCGUAGAUAUCAGAUAGAACACCAAUGGCGAAGGCAGUCACUUGGUCCAUUACUGACGCUAAAGCACGAAAGCGUGGGUAGCAAACA